UUAUCUGCUCUGCUAUCAUGACCUGGAGAAUAUGAGUCUUCAAGUAACAUGUUCCAUUUUUACUUGCAUUAACUUCCAAGAAAAUGGCGUAAGAAGGGACGCAGAGUAAACAAUGGCCUUGGCAGAUUAAAAAUGUAUUGUCCAGAACAAGGAUCAAGCAACCAUAACAAGGAAGAAGCGUUUAAUGGCUACAAACAGAGAUCUAUUCUUCAGGCAAGACAAGCUCCCUUCAGUGCGCUCUUGGCCUGGCUCCACUUCGUCAAUGAUCCCAUUGUCUGGAACAAAGCUUCCAUCUUAAGGCCAUGGAGCUGAUCAGUGAAAGCAACUGCACAGUGAAGGGGGCUUCUAUGUUGCACUAUUAAGUACUAUUUACAGGCCGAGAGUGUCAAAUACUUUGUGAAUGAGACAGAAAGAACCUUAGGUUAGAAAAAACCAUUAUGUCAUAAACAUGGAAGCACUAGGGAAGAGUGGGGGAGAGAGAGAGAUCACAUCUUCUUUGUUGCAUGGCUGUUCUGGAAGUUUCAUCAGCUCCCACACAGCUAAAGCCCACAUGCAGAAAGAUAUUAAAGAUAAAUUUUCACUAUGCCUACAUGGUCAAUCCUAUCUUGUUUACGGACACUUCCCAUAUUAAAGCUGCAAAAACAUGGAUGUGGAUGUUUGAAUUAGUCCCAUCCCUUCAAAAAAUAAUAAUGACUAUUAAUAUGAACAUAAAUCAUAACUACCUGAAAGAAGAGAUAUGCAGCAUUUUUAUUUGGGCUUAUCCUUAGAUGUACUUUGGUACCAUGGACCCCCUCAUCUAUCACUCCCCAACUAACAAGAUCACCAUCAAAUAUUAUUUGAGAGCAUCCUAUGCUGGAAAAUAUUCAACAAUAAUCUCUUGGGGUUUAAAGAAGGGAACCUGUGCUUCAAAGAAUUUACCAAAGUCACCAUUCUUCAGUCAUCACCUUGCACAGAAG